GAUGAACGCUGGCGGCGUGCCUAAUACAUGCAAGUCGAGCGAACAGAUGAGGAGCUUGCUCCUCUGACGUUAGCGGCGGACGGGUGAGUAACACGUGGAUAACCUACCUAUAAGACUGGGAUAACUUCGGGAAACCGGAGCUAAUACCGGAUAAUAUAUUGAACCGCAUGGUUCAAUAGUGAAAGACGGUUUUGCUGUCACUUAUAGAUGGAUCCGCGCCGCAUUAGCUAGUUGGUAAGGUAACGGCUUACCAAGGCAACGAUGCGUAGCCGACCUGAGAGGGUGAUCGGCCACACAGGAAGUGAGACACGGUCCAGACUCCUACGGGAGGCAGAAGUAGGGAAUCGUCCGCAAUGGGCGAAAGCCUGACGGAGCAACGCCGCGUGAGUGAUGAAGGUCUUCGGAUCGUAAAACUCUGUUAUUAGGGAAGAACAAAUGUGUAAGUAACUAUGCACGUCUGGACGGUACCUAAGCAGAAAGCCACGGCUAACUACGU
rnacentral:rRNA from 1 species